rnacentral:antisense_RNA from 1 species
ACAGGGAUGAUAGGAUGAGAAAAAGAAAGGACAAAGGCACCAGAGGAGGUAUGCCAACUGGGAAACUUUUCAUCACUUUCCAGAUAUAAACUAGCAGUCUGUGAAGGCAACUGGUCUGAUUUUUCAGGUGAGAACAUAUGAGAGGCAGGCUGAGACCAAUUUUCUACCGGGCCAGCUAAUUCAUCACAAUGACAAGCUAUGGGUCAUAUGCUUCCAGGAACCAGACACUGGAACAUGUCAUCUGACGUACAUCACACCAAGAAAUAAAAAAAGAAUUGGAAAGCUGAUGUCCAAUUAUUUACUAAAACAGAAUCCACUGGAGAGAAACGUAAAAGCAGGUAAAAAGGCAAUCUCUUAACAUGAAAACUCACAACUGGAAAACAAGAACCUAAACCAUACAGCGACAAGCUCAGGAAAAUGUCUCCAGCUACUGCUGUCUCUCAGACUCUCAAAAUAUGUGUAACCACUUCCUCCUCUGCAAGGAAUCACCCCAGAAGAUCAACUCUACUAGAUCAUUUGAGGACAAUGAACAAAGUCUCAAGACUGAAUUCCCACAGAAAACAUUCCCAUGAAACCACCCAAUAUUUUGGUGAAGUUAAAGAAGGUCAUGUGUUCGGAGACAACCAGAAGCAGCAAUGCUCAAAACCACAAAACUCUGGAUUGCCAACUCUGCACAUCCUGGUUCCUCUAGAUACAGUUCAGUGGCACAUUCACAAAUACAUGUUUUCAAAAACUGCCCUCAGGCAGUUCUAGAGAAAUGCUUUGACUUGCCUAAUGGUAUAAUGUCAAGAAAGGAAGACCAGCACUGAUCAUUCAUACUCCUUAUUACAGUCACAGGGCACUGUCUGACUUGACGGAUAUAGCCGAACAGUUGAAAGGUUAUGGGAAUUUAAGUCCAUUAUGGUCAUAUGAUUCUUAUGGACCCAGAGACGUGAAAUUAAUUGGCCACAUGUGUAGGGACAAAGUUUGUCAUAAAUAGAUAUAAAUUAUCUGCAUGCUAAGAACUUAAGAGAGUUACUUAACUCUGUUUCCUCAUGUUAAAAUAAACAUAAUUAUAGAAUGCAAAUGAAAUACUUAGCCUGGAGCCUAUUAUAUAGGAAGCACUCAAUAAUUUUAAACUAUUGAGUAUAUUAUUAGAUAGGCUCCAUAAUCAUUUAUUCCUUUUUCAACAGACAGUAUGAUCUAUUGAAAAUAAAGCCAAACUAGAUUUCUGUUGACCUACUCCUUUUUCUGUUUGUAUUGUUGGCAAGUUGUUCUAAAUCAACUUGCCAACAUAUUAUUAACAUGUUAUUAACAUAGAAGGGAUGCUUAUUUUGUUUGCUUUGUAAGAAAUGCUUCUGAUUCAGUAACUGGGCAAUUUAUUUAAAUAUAAGUAAAAAGCAGAUUUUAUUAAAAACUACUUUGUGUUAUCACAAAUAA